GGAGGGUGCAAGCGUUAUUCGGAAUUACUGGGCGUAAAGCGCACGUAGGCGGCUUCGUAAGUCAGGGGUGAAAUCCCACGGCUCAACCGUGGAACUGCCUUUGAAACUGCAAAGCUUGAAUCCUGGAGAGGGUGGCGGAAUUCCUGGUGUAGGAGUGAAAUCCGUAGAUAUCGGGAGGAACACCGGUGGCGAAGGCGGCCACCUGGACAGGCAUUGACGCUGAGGUGCGAAAGUGUGGGGAGCAAACAGGAUUAGAUACCCUGGUAGUCCACACCGUAAACGAUGGAUACUAGGUGUCGGGGACUUGAUCUUCGGUGCCGUAGCUAACGCGUUAAGUAUCCCGCCUGGGGAGUACGGUCGCAAGGCUG
rnacentral:rRNA from 1 species